UUUUAUAACCUUCUUUUUUUCUAUUUGUUUCCAUUUUGCAUAUGAACAAUCUAUUUUUGCUCAUAUUUAUUGUUGUUCACUUUUUGGGUUGAAUUUUAUAGGGGUAAUGCUUUGUUUUGUAUCAGUCAGUCUAAGCCCAAGCUUUGGGCUUUUAGCAUAGUUCAGCUUUGGACAGUUAUGUAGGAAGCAGAAUCGGCCAUCCUUGAAGCAUUAUCAAGAUCAAAGCCUGGAACCGUAUGACCCUGGAUACUAGAUUUUGCACUAACAGUAGCUAUGUGAUCUCUGUAUUACCUACUAUAAAUGUAUAUCAGCUCUUGAUGCUUUAUAUCUCA